rnacentral:rRNA from 1 species
UACGGAGGGUGCAAGCGUUGUCCGGAUUUAUUGGGUUUAAAGGGUGCGUAGGCGGCUUUUUAAGUCAGUGGUGAAAUACUUCAGCUCAACUGGAGUCGUGCCAUUGAUACUGGGAAGCUUGAGUACUGAUGAAGUGGGCGGAAUUGAAGGCGUAGCGGUGAAAUGCAUAGAUAUCUUCAAGAACACCGAUUGCGAAGGCAGCUCACUAAGGAGUAACUGACGCUGAGGCACGAAAGCGUGGGUAGCAAACAGG